UGUGAGUCUGUGUCUGUCUAUCUGUCUCUCCGCGUGUUUGAUGGGGGUGGGGUGUUUCUCGCGUGCGCGUGCAAUAGAAGGGGGAAUAGAAGGAGGAAGGAAGCUGAAGGGAGUGGUCAGACGGGAAAAGAGGUUUCAUGAAUAAACUUCAACGGCGUUCUUGAAAUAAAGGUGAUAAUUAUGCGUUUGGAAUGGCGGUGAGAGAAUGUUCUCCCCAAAGAUAUUGAAACGUUUAUUGCCUGCAUGGCAGCACACAUCUGAAGUUUCAGUAAUGGACUACCAUUUUUGAGCAUGGAUUUGAACAGAAACGGUUCAGAACUAACGGACAGAAAACGCUUGACAGAGAGGAGAACAAAUCGCGGACAAAGAACGCUUUCCGUUUCAUCAGCGUCGUUAAGACGACGAGGAAGAAUCUCUUAGAUAAUAACUCCCACUUCAAAGAAUUCUGCCCUGAAUAGAGAAUGUACCAUCCUUUUUAUACAGCCACAAGGGUUUUCACUAAAGAGGACUCGACUGUUUGGUUAUUUUUCACCGUGUUUAUUUUUCGCCAUUCACUGGGUACUUGUAUAAAAUAAACAACAAGACAAUUACUAAAAGACGAAUUCCCAACUUAUC